AGCUACAAGUUUUGGGAUUGCAUUGCCAGCUUGGAUUGUGGAUCAGAAGAAUUCUAUUUUGGUUUUGCUAGUGUAUGGAUUAGCAUUUAUGGUUAUUCUUCCAGUGGUUGUAGGUUCCUGGAGGUAUCGCUCAAUACGCUACAGUGGAGACCAGAUUCUCAUCC